rnacentral:lncRNA from 1 species
CUGUUAUUAUCAGCUUCCGAGUGAUGUAAGUGCUGCUUGUUGUGGUUCCAAACAACCAAAAGCUGACCCUUAAGAUGGAAUGAUGCUUCAGUGGAUGGCAAUGUUACCUGAAGAAACAGCUUUCUUCUAGAUUGUUUUACAACAGAGAGCCUGGUCCUAGGGGCAGAAGAGAUUCCAUUUAUUGGCCCUGGAGACUGACAAGGAACCGACACCUGUGCCCAAAUGUUUUCUGAACCUUGGCAGCAACAGGCGUGUUCAUUAUGCAGCAGUUGUAGUUCCAAGUGCGCUCAAGGCAUGGUAGAGCAGCAGCCUUCUCCCUUGAAAGGAAAAACAGGUUAAGCAGCAAAACAGCCAGUGCAGUGGAAUCCCUAACAUGUCCCAUCUUCAAGAAAACUGGUGCUUCUGUGACUGUGCGUCACAAGUGCAAGCUGCAAUUUAUGGUCCUGCGUGUGCAUCCCAGGCUCUCUGACCUGCCUUCCUCUGCCAGCUGUUGUGUGGCUGCUCACUCCUUACAAGCCUGCACGCAGAUCAGCAGAAUCUGUGGAGCCAGACUCUGA